rnacentral:rRNA from 1 species
UACGUAGGGUCCGAGCGUUGUCCGGAAUUACUGGGCGUAAAGAGCUCGUAGGUGGUUUGUCACGUUGUUCGUGAAAACUCACAGCUCAACUGUGGGCGUGCGGGCGAUACGGGCAGACUGGAGUACUGCAGGGGAGACUGGAAUUCCUGGUGUAGCGGUGAAAUGCGCAGAUAUCAGGAGGAACACCGGUGGCGAAGGCGGUUCUCUGGGCAUGUCCUGACGCUGAGGAGCGAAAGUGUGGGGAGCGAACAGG